GAGUUUGAUCUUAGCUCAGAUUGAACGCUGGCGGCAGGCCUAACACAUGCAAGUCGAGCGGAUGACGGGAGCUUGCUCCUUGAUUCAGCGGCGGACGGGUGAGUAAUGCCUAGGAAUCUGCCUGGUAGUGGGGGACAACGUUUCGAAAGGAACGCUAAUACCGCAUACGUCCUACGGGAGAAAGCAGGGGACCUUCGGGCCUUGCGCUAUCAGAUGAGCCUAGGUCGGAUUAGCUAGUUGGUGGGGUAAUGGCUCACCAAGGCGACGAUCCGUAACUGGUCUGAGAGGAUGAUCAGUCACACUGGAACUGAGACACGGUCCAGACUCCUACGGGAGGCAGCAGUGGGGAAUAUUGGACAAUGGGCGAAAGCCUGAUCCAGCCAUGCCGCGUGUGUGAAGAAGGUCUUCGGAUUGUAAAGCACGUUUAAGUUGGGUAGGAAGGGCAGUAAGUUAAUACC
rnacentral:rRNA from 1 species